rnacentral:rRNA from 1 species
GCUCGGUCUAUAUGGUCAGUCAUUCAGAUAGCUUCUGGCUUGUAUCCUCCUUGUAGUGUUGCUAAUGUAUUUGGCAGCUGGUUACAUGGGAUUGAUCACAGGUUUAGAACUCUUCUUAGGGUGGGAGAGCUUGCCGUUAUUUGGUCGCUUUGGCUAUGUAGAAAUGAUAAGGUUUUUAACGAUAAAAGUACUUCUCUAAUGCAGGUUAUCUAAAUAUGUACCGGGACUCUUCGUUUAUUGUUCUCUCUACAACGCGUGGACAAUCGAGACCUAUUUACGGAAGUGUGUACACGAUUGCAGGAUACGGCGAGAGAUACUUUUAUCCAACAUGGGUGGCAUCAUGAUUUUAGGAUUGACCCACCUCCGCUUUAG